GUUGAGGUUAGGAGGGUCUGACCCUCCCUAACCUCAACCCUUUUUUGUCACAAUUUUUGUCACAAAAUCUUCAAGGAAAAAACGUGUCAAUAUACCUCAGACAAAAACAAACAAAAAAACAAUGACAAAUGUUUCAGAUGUUGCUCAGUAAUGAUAGUUUUAGAAUGAUUUUUUCUGUGCCUCUUUCACAAUUUAACUAACAAACAUAUUUAGAUACAAGGAGUAUAAAAGCAGGAGAUGACUUUAGGAGGGUCUUCAGGAAAUGCUCCAUCCAAAUCACUUUUUCAUUGUUAUUAUUGUAAUUCUACAAAUUACAUUUUCAACAAUUACUCUAUUUUUAACAUGUAAACAAUGAGAGUCAUAUUAGGAUGGAGCAUUUCCAAAGGGUUGAGGUUAGGGAGGGUCAGACCCUCCUAAAGUCUUUAUCCUCUGUUACUCCUGUUACUGAGUGAUCUACAGAAAAUUACAAACAAGUGUUCAGUUUAAAUAAUUUCUGUAAACAUUUGUAGACACUCAAGAAAAUUCAUCCAGAUCCUAGAAAAUAGAGCAAAGUUUAAAAUGUUCCUCAGUAACUGUAAUAAAUUUUUCUGUGACUAUUCAGCAAAGGAAUUCUAGUACAUAUCUGAAGAGAUUGUAAAAGCAGGAUAGACUUUAGGAGGGUCUUCAGGAAAUGCUCCAUCCAAAUAAUUUUUCAUUGUUAGUAUCGUAUUUCUUCAAAUGACAUUUACAAUAUUUGAUUGAUUUUUAACAUGUAAACAAUGAGAGUCAUAUUAGCAUGGAGCAUUUCCAAAGGGUUGGGUUAGGGAGGGUCAGACCCUCCUAAAGUCUUUAUCCUCUUUUACAAAUGUUUCUGUUUGAUGACAUUAUUGUUCAUAAUAAGUCUUUUCUUGCAGUUGAUUGUAAUUUUUGUCACAAAAUCUUAAAGGAAAAAACGUGUCAAUAUACCUCAGACAAAAACAAACAAAAAACAAUGACAAAUGUUUCAGAUGUUGCUCAGUAAUGACAGUUUUAGAAUAUUUUUUUCUGUGCCUCUUUCACAAUUUAACUAACAAACAUAUUUAGAUACAAGGAGUAUAAAAGCAGGAGAUGACUUUAGGAGGGUCUUCAGGAAAUGCUCCAUCCAAAUCACUUUUUCAUUGUUGUUAUUGUAAUUCAACAAAUUACAUUUUCAACAACUAAUUUAUUUUGAACAUGUAAACAAUGAGAGUCAUCUUAGGAUGGAGCAUUUCCAAAGGGUUGAGGUUAGGGAGGGUCAGACCCUCCUAAAGUCUUUAUCCUCUGUUACUCCUGUUACUGAGUGAUCUACAGAAAAUUACAAACAAGUGUUCAGAUUAAAUAAUUUCUGUAAACAUUUGUAGACACUGAGAAAAAUUCAUCCAGAUCCUAGAAAAUAGAGCAAAGUUUAAAAUGUUCCUCAGUAACUGUAACACAUUUUUCUGUGACUAUUCAGCAAAGGAAUUCUAGUACAUAUCUGAAGAGAUUGUAAAAGCAGGAUAGACUUUAGGAGGGUCUUCAGGAAAUGCUCCAUCCAAGUCACUUUUUCAUUGUUAUUGUAAUUCUACAAAUUACAUUUUCAACAAUUAAUCUAUUUUUAACAUGUCAACAAUGAGAGUCAUAUUUGUGUGACUUGUUAUGAUUCACUCUAUUAACUGGUGAGAUCUAGAAACUAUUUUCUGAAAUGAAAACUAAUUGUCUAAACAGUAAGAGUCAUCUUAGGAUGGAGCAUUUCCAAAGGGUUGAGGUUAGGGAGGGUCAGACCCUCCUAAAGUCUCUAUGGUCUUUUACAAAUGUUAUUACUAGAUUUCAUCAAUGUUAAUGAUUAUUCUUUCUGAUGUUUUAACUUCUAUAAAGAAAAGAAUACAGAAAAAUUGACAAAUGGUGAGGAUUUCCUGUUAUGUUUUGGGUUUGGUUUGGUUCGGUCCGUCUCUCGUUUUUCUCUUCUCUCUGGUUUCCUUUCAGUGUGAUCCUGAAGACGUGGCUCAUCUCCCUGCAGCUCAUUCCAGAUCAUCAGCUCCUCCAUAAAACCUGGACUUUUCUCUUCUCUGGUCCCAGAUUGUUCUUCGCGUUUGAUACUACCUGCUGCUACCUCAGUCCUCCAGAGCUCCAGUGUUUCCUGCGCUCGGCCUUCAGCUCUACCUCCAUCACUCCAGCCGUCCACCCCCAAACCAGCCAGUCGUCAACCUCCACUUAACUUUUGUUCAAAUAAAUCACUCUUUUUACCUUA